GAUGAACGCUAGCGGCAGGCCUAAUACAUGCAAGUCGAACGGGAUCCGGGGCUUCGGCCCCGGUGAGAGUGGCGCACGGGUGCGUAACGCGUGAGCAACCUGCCCGUCCCAGGGGGAUAGCCCCUCGAAAGAGGGAUUAACACCGCAUGAAGUUGAGGGGCGGCAUCGCCUUUCGACCAAAUAUUCAUAGGGGACGGAUGGGCUCGCGUGGCAUUAGCUAGUUGGUGGGUAACGGCCCACCAAGGCG
rnacentral:rRNA from 1 species